GCCAGCAUGGUGGAAUUGGUAGACACGCUAGACUCAAAAUCUUGUGGGCUUGCGCCCGUGUCGGUUCGACUCCGACUGCUGGUA
rnacentral:tRNA from 1 species